rnacentral:rRNA from 1 species
GAUGAACGCUGGCGGCGUGCUUAACACAUGCCAGUCGAACGAGAAGUGAAGACGGAAACCUUCGGGCGGAAGGCUUUAUUUCGAGUGGCGGACGGGUGAGUAACGCGUGGGUAACCUGCCUCAUACAGGGGGAUAACAGUUGGAAACGACUGUUAAUACCGCAUAAGACCACAGCACCGCAUGGUGCGGGGGUAAAAACUCCGGUGGUAUGAGAUGGACCCGCGUUCGAUUAGCCAGUUGGCGGGGUAACGGCCCACCAAAGCGACGAUCGAUAGCCGAUCUGAGAGGAUGACCGGCCACAUUGGGACUGAGACACGGCCCAAACUCCUACGGGAGGCAGCAGUGGGGAAUAUUGCACAAUGGGGGAAACCCUGAUGCAGCGACGCCGCGUGAGUGAAGAAGUAUUUCGGUAUGUAAAGCUCUAUCAGCAGGGAAGAAAAUGACGGUACCUGAGGAAGAAGCCCCGGCUAACUACGUG